UACGGAGGGUGCAAGCGUUGUUCGGAAUUAUUGGGCGUAAAGCGCGUGUAGGCGGUUCGUUAAGUCUGAUGUGAAAGCCCUGGGCUUAACCUGGGAAGUGCAUUGGAAACUGGCGAACUUGAGUAUGGGAGAGGAAAGUGGAAUUCCGAGUGUAGGGGUGAAAUCCGUAGAUAUUCGGAGGAACACCAGUGGCGAAGGCGACUACCUGGACUGAUACUGACACUGAGGUGCGAAAGCGUGGGGAGCAAACAGGAUUAGAAA
rnacentral:rRNA from 1 species